rnacentral:lncRNA from 1 species
GGGGAAGGAGUGGAAGAGCCGUGGACCUCCAGGGAGAAUGGGCCCCGGGGAGACGGAGAGGAGGAGGAUGGAGGAGGAGUACCCAACGAGGUGAACGGAGGAGGGACUAAGGGCGGCCGGUGGAUGUGGGAGGCGGAGCGACGGCAACAGGGGGAGGAUGACGAGGAGGAGGAGGAGGAAGAGGAGAACAACAACAGUGGCAGCCAGCAGGGAGAGGAGGAGGAAAGGACAGAGGGAGGAGAGAGAACGGGGAGGGAGGACGAGGAGGAGAUGGACCAGGACAGUGAUGACUUUGAGCAUUCGGAGGAGAGCGGGAGGGAGGAAGAAGAGGAGGAGGAGGGGGAGGACGGCCUCCACUCACCCUCCACCAGGAGUGAUGCAUCUGUCCCCAACAACAACUUGGACCAGUCCUCGGGAUGCCAACACCAAAGCUCACCCAUCAAGAAGAAGGAUCGACACAGUGCUGUGUUGGACUGACAGGUCAUCCAUUCCCCGCUGCUCUUCUCAAAUCACUCAGCCAACCCGUGAAGGUAAAUCUAUUCCGCCGCCCUCGGAAAUCACUCUUUAAUUAGUCCGGAGAAAUAAUGAACGACGGUGAAGUGACAAACUCGGCCCACCUGGUAGCCUUGGUAGCCCUCCGCUACAAUGACAGAGCCUCCUCUGAAAGACGAGGAGACCAGGCAGCAGACCAUUUUAUUGGACUAGAUUUAUUACUCCAGAGAAGGACGGCUGUGUGUCAUCUACCCCCCACCCCACCCCUGAUUUGUCCUCGGGCAAGCGUCAAGUGUAUCCCAGGGCUUGUAUGACAUUGGGGCUACUGAUUUACAGGACAGGCCUUCAGUUAGGGCUGGAGCUUGGCUUGGAGCUCACUGUGCCUCCCCCCCAGGCGGCCCCGGGCCACGUUCCUUAUGAUUCCUUAUUUUACAUGUCAAGAGAGGCAUGUUUGUUCUACAUAACAUGGGAGGUAACUUAGCCUCGGCCGAGUGGUGCGUCCCUUCAGGCAGUCCUGGAAUGGGUCUCUUUGUGCCGAGCCAUGUGGCUCUGUUCACCUUUCACAGGUGUUGUGCAGCCGCCGGCCGGCCGGCAUGAAAUGUACCACAUGUUUUUUUUUGCCAUACCCACCCACCCCCUUCUCUCCUGUGAGCGUGAUUGAGCUGCAGCAGUCAAACACCUUGGAGAGAUGGAGAGAGAGAGAGAGAGAGAGAGAGGAGGGGGAGGGAGAGCUACUGUAGCAGUGAAUGCGAUUCCAUUCACAGCCGAG